rnacentral:SRP_RNA from 2 species
CGUCGCUCCCUUUGCAUCGAUUGCCCGUGAACCUGAUCAGGCCCGGAAGGGACCAGCCAUCGCGGGACAUUGUAUGUCAGGGUGUGGCUGGUGGAG